GAUGAACGCUGGCGGCGUGCCUAAUACAUGCAAGUCGAGCGAACAGACGAGGAGCUUGCUCCUCUGACGUUAGCGGCGGACGGGUGAGUAACACGUGGAUAACCUACCUAUAAGACUGGGAUAACUUCGGGAAACCGGAGCUAAUACCGGAUAAUAUAUUGAACCGCAUGGUUCAAUAGUGAAAGACGGUUUUGCUGUCACUUAUAGAUGGAUCCGCGCCGCAUUAGCUAGUUGGUAGGGUAACGGCUUACCAAGGCAACGAUGCGUAGCCGACCUGAGGGGGGAACGGCCACACGGGGACCGGGACACGGGCCAAACUCCGAAGGGGGGGCGGAGUAGGGAAACUUUCGGAAAGGGGGAAAGCCCUGACGAGGAAACGCCGGGGGGUGAAGAAAGGGUUUCGGCUUGAAAAACCUUGUAUUAGGGAAAAACAAAAUGUUAAAUAAACUAUGACGGUUUGACGGGACCCAAGGCAAAAGCCACGGGUAAAUUAGUG
rnacentral:rRNA from 1 species